UAUAAAAUCAGACGCGGACUUUGGGGCUCUGUCUUGGCCUCCUGGCUCUUGGCUCUUCCCAGCUCUCAUGUGCCAUUGGGAUUCCAGGACAGCGGAACAGGCCUCCUGCCUCGAUCUUCUCAAAACACAGAAAUAAACAGUUGCUAUUGCUAUCAUACAGCCAAACAUGAGCUCAAGUGAAAGCACUGGGUACAGUCAGAAGCGCAGGAGGGUGAGAGAAUUCACCAGAGCCAGAGCGGGGAGCAGAGC